AGAGUUUGAUCCUGGCUCAGGAUGAACGCUAGCGGCAGGCUUAACACAUGCAAGUCGAGGGGUAUGUUUCUUCGGAAGCAGAGACCGGCGCACGGGUGCGUAACGCGUAUGCAAUCUACCUUUUACAGAGGGAUAGCCCAGAGAAAUUUGGAUUAAUACCUCAUAGUAUUAUGAAAUGGCAUCAUUUUAUAAUUAAAGUCACAACGGUAAAAGAUGAGCAUGCGUCCCAUUAGCUAGUUGGUAAGGUAACGGCUUACCAAGGCUACGAUGGGUAGGGGUCCUGAGAGGGAGAUCCCCCACACUGGUACUGAGACACGGACCAGACUCCUACGGGAGGCAGCAGUGAGGAAUAUUGGACAAUGGGCGCAAGCCUGAUCCAGCCAUGCCGCGUGCAGGAUGACGGUCCUAUGGAUUGUAAACUGCUUUUAUACGGGAAGAAACACCUCUACGUGUAGAGACUUGACGGUACUGUAUGAAUAAGGACCGGCUAACUCCGUGCCAGCAGCCGCGGUAAUACGGAGGGUCCAAGCGUUAUCCGGAAUCAUUGGGUUUAAAGGGUCCGUAGGCGGUUUGAUAAGUCAGUGGUGAAAGCCCAUCGCUCAACGAUGGAACGGCCAUUGAUACUGUUAAACUUGAAUUAUUAGGAAGUAACUAGAAUAUGUAGUGUAGCGGUGAAAUGCUUAGAGAUUACAUGGAAUACCAAUUGCGAAGGCAGGUUACUACUAAUAUAUUGACGCUGAUGGACGAAAGCGUGGGGAGCGAACAGGAUUAGAUACCCUGGUAGUCC
rnacentral:rRNA from 1 species